rnacentral:rRNA from 1 species
AGUCGAACGCUUUUUUCAAUCAUCGUAGCUUGCUACACCGAUUGAAAAUUGAGUGGCGAACGGGUGAGUAACACGUGGGUAACCUGCCCAAAAGAGGGGGAUAACACUUGGAAACAGGUGCUAAUACCGCAUAACCAUGAUGACCGCAUGGUCAUUAUGUAAAAGAUGGUUUCGGCUAUCACUUUUGGAUGGACCCGCGGCGUAUUAACUUGUUGGUGGGGUAACGGCCUACCAAGGUAAUGAUACGUAGCCGAACUGAGAGGUUGAUCGGCCACAUUGGGACUGAGACACGGCCCAACUCCUACGGGAGGCAGCAGUAGGGAAUCUUCCACAAUGGGCGCAAGCCUGAUGGAGCAACGCCGCGUGAGUGAAGAAGGUCUUCGGAUCGUAAAACUCUGUUGUUAGAGAAGAACAUGCGAGAGUAACUGUUCUUGUAUUGACGGUAUCUAACCAGAAGCCACGGCUAACUACGUGCCAGCGCCGCGGUAAUACGUAGGUGGCAGCGUUGUCCGGAUUUAUUGGGCGU